rnacentral:tRNA from 1 species
UCCUUAGUAGCUCAAUGGUAGAGCUUUUGGCUGUUAACCAAAAAGUUGUAGGUUCAAAUCCUACCUAAGGAG